ACAAAUAUGGCGUCCGUCGGUGAAGGCAGACGGCCAGGGAAAGAUUUUUGCAUUAUAUGCAUAUAAUAAAUAAUGCAAGAGGAAAAUUAACUUCUUUUACAUAUACAUUAUGGUGCAGUUUUGUGAUAUUCGCAGCAACGUGGAAGAAAUUUAUUUGUAAAGAGGACGAAAUCGCACAUGAUUCGGAGGCGAAACUUGACUUGCGUCUCGAUUCACAGUGUGAAACAAUGCGCACAGAUAAUGUUAAGAGUUUUCUGCCAACACCAGCCUACUGCAAAAUUCGCCGGGAGUGCUACAACGGGUUUUAUAACAAACAGAAGGUCGAAAGGGAAGAAAGAAGACACGCUAUAAGGGACGAGAAUGCCAAAAAAUGUAAGAGAGGAUUGUUGUGAAUUGUACAAAAUAUAGUGGUGUUUUAUUACAACGAACCGAAAUAUGAUCAAGUUAGGUCAUUCAAUAAACUGGGA